CUUUAACAUAUAAAAUGAAGAUGUUUGUACUACGUUGUCAAUAAACUUUGUUGUAUUGUUUUGUCAACAUUAGAUUAAAGGUAAGUCAAAGAAAUUUCCUAAUAUUAAUACAAUGCCUUAAAUUGCAGAAGUUAUUUAUAAUAGUACGCUUAAUUAACAUUGACAUAAGAAAAGCAUAUAAUUGCGGAAAACCUUUUUAUCAAGAAAUAUAAAUAGAUUAUGUUUUCAAUAUAAAAACGACACAGACAUUUACAGCUAUAGGCCACCGUACGGCAUUCAACAAUGAGCAAAGCCCAUACCGCAUAGUCAGCUAUGACAAUGUAAAACAAUUCAAACGAGAAAACCAACGGCCUUAUUUAUAUAAAAAAAAUGAACGAAAAACAAAUAUGUAACACAUAAACAAACGACAACCACUGAAUUACAGGCUCCUGACUUGGGACAGGCACAUACAUAGAUAAUGUGGCGGGGUUAAACAUCUUAGCUGGAUCCCAACCCUCCUCUAACAUGGGUUAGUGGUAUAACAGUACAACAUAAGAACGAACUGUAAAAAUCAGUUGAAAAAGGCUUAACUCAUCAGAUGGACAAAAAUAAAAGUGGAAUUCAAUGUCUUUAUUAAUGUUAUUUGUGCACAUAGCUUAUAUCUUACUUAAAAAACAGACACUGAUUUCUCAAUACGAAUCGCGGCCUCGUAGGCCAAGUGGUCUAAAUAUUUCUACUACUGCAAUCACUAGCCGGUCAAUACUGAUGUUGUGAGUUCGAACUCCUCUCGUGCAGGUGCACUCGACUCCAAUCUUAAUUGACUAGGAUAGUUAGUUUUAGAACAGUGAUUUUUUCCGGGCACUCCGGCUUCCUUGACCCAUAAAAUCUGACCGCCACGAAAUAGUCCAAAAGUUGUGCUUUAAAGUGGCGUUAAAACACCCAAAUUCCAUCGAUCAAUCCCAUGACGAUUUACAUUUAUUGAUGUUGCUUUGAAUUGUUUUUCUGAUAUGCUAUUGCAAUAUUUUUUAUCGGUGUUUUUCUGAUUUUCAAUGUUUUGUUUGUUUUUUGCUUCAAGACCCGCUUUCCUAUCUUUAUUUCAAUUUGGUCUUCCGUAAAGAGUUGUCUCAUUGGUUACCAUACCACAUUUUCUUUUUUAUAUCAAAAUUGUUGCACGUUUUUUUGUAGGAAAUCUCUGUUUACUGAUGGUUAAGAUCUAAGACCCCUUCUGUGGCCUGUGAAUUACCGAACUGCAGUAGUAUCAAACCAGCAAAGAUAAUAAAUAAUAGAGAUGGGCCAUUCUGUACAUAUAACAAGAGGAAACCUCGUGCAAAGCAUUAUUAUUUAUAGUUUCAUUUCAUUUAAUAGAACAUGGGAAUUUAUCAAAAAUUUGUUGUAGAAAAUCCACAAGAUUUUUGUUAUUAAAUUUUAAACAUAGAUUACUGACGCGUUUUUCUAUGAUUUAUUUUUUACAAAAAGUCCUAAACAACCAAAAUUACAAAACACCUUGUGCUGAGUCACUAAGUCGAGCGCAUCCUAGAAGGUAUCCUUAAAUUGGUCCAUAUUUAUAUUUGUUUAAACCAGUAUCUAAAUUUAUAAACUUGUUUGAAGGAAAUUGUUGCUAGCACUGCAUGUAAUAAUCCUCUAUCUUUCAAGCAUUUUUAGCAUUGAAGCAACACAAGAGUACAUAAUCCUUAAUGGAUUAAUUGAAAUAACUUACAUGUAUUGUAUGUUUAUAUUGGUAACAUCAAUGAAGAACAGGAACUGAUAGCGAUCUUCUUUUAAUUACGAAAUUGGAAUGGAUUCGUUUAGCUCAAUCUAAUUUUUUUAUUUUUUUUUUAGGUUUUUAGGAUUGCCCACAAAGAGUAAGCUACGGAAGCGUAUUAGCGCCACACAUUUUUUUUUUUAAUUUUUUUUUAUUUUUCUUCCUAUGUUUGCGUUAUAACGCAAACCUUUGCGUUAUACCGCAAACCUUUUUCGUUGUAACGCAAACCUUUUGCGUUUAACGCAAACCUUUGCGAUAUAACGCAAACAUUUGCUGUUAUAACGGAAAUAUCUUGAUUUCAAUUAUUCAUUAAAUUUUGUAUAUAUGUCCGUCUGUCAUUCAUUUCGGAUGUGAUUUACUAGUAGAUAAAAAAAGAAACAUACAUACAAGGCCAAAUCAUUAUAAUAAAUAUGCAUAGGAAUAAUUGAAUAAUUGAAGUGCAAUUAUACAUAAAUUAAGACUGAUUUGUGCAUCAGAAAAGUAUAUAAUUUAACAAGAAAAUAGAUAUAGUUUAGUAUAUAGUCAUAUUAAAAUUGAAAGAUAAAAAAUAAUGUCAUACAAUUGUGAAACCAACCUCCAAGUCAAAUAGACAUAAUGAUCUUUCUGUUUUAAAAUGAAUUAUUAAUAAGGAAACAUUUUUUUUAAAUCUCAGAAUAUGAUCAAGAUUCUUUGAUAAAAAGUCAUUGAAUUUUCAUUUCAAUAUAAUGAAGUAUUUUUAAGAUGCUUGGGUAGCAAUUUGAAUAGAGAGAACAUAAUUUUAUUUAUAAAACAUCUUCAUUCUAUACAUUUAUUGCCAAAGGGUAGCUUGUUUGAAUCUUACCUACUUUACACAGUUCUCAAACGAGAGCGUAGCUUGUUUGAAUCUAACCUACUUUACACAGUUCUCAAACGAGAGCUUACUUUGGAAGUAUAUUUUUUUGGUUAUAGCUAUAUUACCAGGGUUGAUUUUUUUCUUAGGUAUAACCUCAAUUUACUCAAUUUUCUUUGUAAUAUAUAUACUAGUAGAAACAUGGAUAUCGUUUUUGGGGACCUUUAUAGUUUGUUGUUCAGUGUGAGCCAAUGCUCCGUGUUGAAGACCGUAAUUCGGCCUAUGAUGGUUUACUUUUACGAAUAGUGACUAAGAUGGAGAGUUUUCUUAUUGGCACUCAUACCACAUCUCCUUAUAUUAUUCUGCUCAUUAUUAGUCAUUGAUAUGAUCUAAUUAUUCAAGCAUUUUACUUUGCAAUUACUACAAAGGUGAUAAAUUUUAAUAUAUACAGCCUCCUCCAUUAAUAACUACGAUUUCCUUUGGAUCUUGAAUAAGAAAUAAGUCAAAACAAAUGUUUGCGUUAUAACGCAAAGGUUUGCGUUAUAUCGCAAAGGUUUGCGUUAUAACGCAAACACAAGAAGAAAAAUAAAAAAAAAAAAUGUGUGGCGCUAAUACGCUUCCGUAGUAAGCUUUACAAAAAUGACAUCUUUUUUUUAUUUUUCAAAUCAUGUUAUACAGUAUUUUUUAUCUUUCAGAUAUUACAGUUUGUAUGAAAGAUGACAACAAUGUGCAAUUCUGUUGCGAUUUUACUUCUUCUUGUUAUUAUUACGAAUCAUGGUAAAUAUCCCUAAAUUAGAAUUAUUGGUACACUUGACCACUUUAUCACUAACAACAUAUGAAAUGCAGGUUUUGAGAAAACAAUAAAAACUUACUUAUAAAAUGAAACAGCAAGCCAUAAAUUCUACAAUUCUAGACAUAUCUCCAUUCGAGCAACAAAAGACCCCACAUAAUCCAAUUAUUGACCUUCUUACUUAGUUACAAUAUACCCCACUAAAAUCCCCGUCCGCUGAUGAUAUUGUACUCAACCUACAGAAAUAAAUAUAUUGCAUUACUAGAAAUAUAAAAAGUGUAUUGUUCUUUGUAUUAAAGUGAAAAUCCAAAACCGCUACCUUUAUUUCAGGGAGGGGUAAAAAAGAUUUGCCAUUAUUUUUUUUCCUCGUGAAUUAAACAAAAAUGUCGCAAUAAUUUAAGCAAAUAUCACAUCAGAUACAACUUAAUUGUAACCAAAGUUACAUGAUAUUUUUUAUACAACUAUCCAGUCAACAAUUACUCUUCGAUUUUUAAAGUAGAUUAAAAUGUAAGGUCUGUUUUAAAAAACUUUACAAAUUAAAUUAAGACACAGAAAUAUAUAAACUUAUGCAGUUCAUGCAGAAUGCACAUAUUCAAGCUAGAUUUACAUUCUUUUCAGUUAUAAAUGUAGAAUCACGUUGCACAAGCGCCUGGGAGCGUCACUGUACAAGAUAUUGUCGAAACUCACCUAAAAAUAGCUUAAGAAGUUCCUGCUAUUAUAACGGUAAAAUAUAUCGAUGCACAUGUUAUUUAACUGACGGUAUAGCUGGAUAGUUUUAGAGGUUCGUAUUCAUUAUCAUUUAUCAUUUCCAAUGACUUUUUUUAUCAUUUAAACCCAUUUUGUUUAGCUCUCUGUAAAUUUAAAAAGACAACAACGAGAAAUAAGAUUCAUUUAUAAACUUCAAACAAGGUUUUUAUAAAUUCUUGCAUCUCAUUAUAGGUAUAGAAUGCUGUUCAAAAUACAAUUGUUCAAAAUCGGUCUCGAUUGAUUUCUGCAUGUUAUUCCAAAGUUUUAAAAUCGAAUUCACCGGUACAAUAGAAAAUCAAAUUAUAUUUUUUUGUGGUUUCUUGUUUUCUUUUGUAAAGAUAGAAAUUUGAAGGACACAAGUAUUCAUUAUUUAUUACAAAAAUAUUACUAUGAUAGUAUUAUGAUAUGAUUAUAAAACGGCCAUUGUUUGUUGUAGUUUAUGUUUCUAUUUAUAGAUUUAAAGCACGAGGAAACAACUUGUAAAACAAUUUGGAUUACUGACGCAUUCAAACGCACAUUGUUUUUACUAUUGAUUUUCAAAGUAAAACUUUAUCAUGUUUAUGUACAAAAUAUCUUCAACAUUUAUCUUACAUUAUAAUGAAUGUAAUAACAGUUAAAAAACCGGCAACGCAACAUAUGGAGCAGGAUCUGGUUACCCUUUCGGAGAUGAUCACUCUUGGUUUAUGGUAGGACUCAUCUAGACUGGUAGCCAGCCGUUAUUGAUAUUCUUCACAAUAUCAUUUGUAUAUUUCGAAGGCAUACUGGAUAUUUUACGGAGGGAAUCAACCUAGCAUUCAUCUUCAUCAGCCUUAAAGACAUAAGAAACCUCAAAU
rnacentral:lncRNA from 1 species